UUAAGCGACUAAGCGUACACGGUGGAUGCCCUGGCAGUCAGAGGCGAUGAAGGACGUGCUAAUCUGCGAAAAGCGCCGGCGAGGUGAUAUGAACCUUUGACCCGGCGAUGUCCGAAUGGGGAAACCCAGUGCAAUCCGUUGCACUAUCGUUAACUGAAUACAUAGGUUAACGAGGCGAACCGGGGGAACUGAAACAUCUAAGUACCCCGAGGAAAAGAAAUCAACCGAGAUUCCCCCAGUAGCGGCGAGCGAACGGGGAGCAGCCCGGAGUCUGAAUCAGCUUGUGUGUUAGUGGAACGGUCUGGAAAGUCCGACGGUACAGGGUGAUAGUCCCGUACACGAAAGCACACUUGCUGUGAACUCGAAGAGUAGGGCGGGACACGUGGUAUCCUGUCUGAAUAUGGGGGGACCAUCCUCCAAGGCUAAAUACUCCUGACUGACCGAUAGUGAACCAGUACCGUGAGGGAAAGGCGAAAAGAACCCCGGCGAGGGGAGUGAAAAAGAACCUGAAACCGUGUACGUACAAGCAGUGGGAGCCUCUUUAUGGGGUGACUGCGUACCUUUUGUAUAAUGGGUCAGCGACUUAUAUUCUGUAGCAAGGUUAACCGUAUAGGGGAGCCGAAGGGAAACCGAGUCUUAACUGGGCGUUAAGUUGCAGGGUAUAGACCCGAAACCCGGUGAUCUAGCCAUGGGCAGGUUGAAGGUUGGGUAACACUAACUGGAGGACCGAACCGACUAAUGUUGAAAAAUUAGCGGAUGACCUGUGGCUGGGGGUGAAAGGCCAAUCAAACCGGGAGAUAGCUGGUUCUCCCCGAAAGCUAUUUAGGUAGCGCCUCGUGAACUCAUCUUCGGGGGUAGAGCACUGUUUCGGCUAGGGGGCCAUCCCGGCUUACCAACCCGAUGCAAACUACGAAUACCGAAGAAUGUUAUCACGGGAGACACACGGCGGGUGCUAACGUCCGUCGUGAAGAGGGAAACAACCCAGACCGCCAGCUAAGGUCCCAAAGUCAUGGUUAAGUGGGAAACGAUGUGGGAAGGCACAGACAGCCAGGAUGUUGGCUUAGAAGCAGCCAUCAUUUAAAGAAAGCGUAAUAGCUCACUGGUCGAGUCGGCCUGCGCGGAAGAUGUAACGGGGCUAAACCAUGCACCGAAGCUGCGGCAGCGACACUAUGUGUUGUUGGGUAGGGGAGCGUUCUGUAAGCCGUUGAAGGUGUGCUGUGAGGCAUGCUGGAGGUAUCAGAAGUGCGAAUGCUGACAUAAGUAACGAUAAAGCGGGUGAAAAGCCCGCUCGCCGGAAGACCAAGGGUUCCUGUCCAACGUUAAUCGGGGCAGGGUGAGUCGACCCCUAAGGCGAGGCCGAAAGGCGUAGUCGAUGGGAAACAGGUUAAUAUUCCUGUACUUGGUGUUACUGCGAAGGGGGGACGGAGAAGGCUAUGUCAGCCGGGCGACGGUUGUCCCGGUUUAAGCAUGUAGGCGGAGGUUCCAGGUAAAUCCGGUACCUUUUAACGCUGAGGUGUGAUGACGAGGCACUACGGUGCUGAAGUGAUAAAUGCCCUGCUUCCAGGAAAAGCCUCUAAGCAUCAGGUAACACGAAAUCGUACCCCAAACCGACACAGGUGGUCAGGUAGAGAAUACCAAGGCGCUUGAGAGAACUCGGGUGAAGGAACUAGGCAAAAUGGUGCCGUAACUUCGGGAGAAGGCACGCUGAUGUGUAGGUGAAGCCCCUGCGGGUGGAGCUGAAAUCAGUCGAAGAUACCAGCUGGCUGCAACUGUUUAUUAAAAACACAGCACUGUGCAAACACGAAAGUGGACGUAUACGGUGUGACGCCUGCCCGGUGCCGGAAGGUUAAUUGAUGGGGUUAGCGGCAACGCGAAGCUCUUGAUCGAAGCCCCGGUAAACGGCGGCCGUAACUAUAACGGUCCUAAGGUAGCGAAAUUCCUUGUCGGGUAAGUUCCGACCUGCACGAAUGGCGUAAUGAUGGCCAGGCUGUCUCCACCCGAGACUCAGUGAAAUUGAACUCGCUGUGAAGAUGCAGUGUACCCGCGGCAAGACGGAAAGACCCCGUGAACCUUUACUAUAGCUUGACACUGAACACUGGUCCUUGAUGUGUAGGAUAGGUGGGAGGCUUUGAAGCGUGGACGCCAGUCUGCGUGGAGCCAACCUUGAAAUACCACCCUUUAAUGGCUGGUGUUCUAACGUAGACCCGUAAUCCGGGUUGCGGACAGUGUCUGGUGGGUAGUUUGACUGGGGCGGUCUCCUCCCAAAGAGUAACGGAGGAGCACGAAGGUUGGCUAAUCCUGGUCGGACAUCAGGAGGUUAGUGCAAUGGCAUAAGCCAGCUUGACUGCGAGCGUGACGGCGCGAGCAGGUGCGAAAGCAGGUCAUAGUGAUCCGGUGGUUCUGAAUGGAAGGGCCAUCGCUCAACGGAUAAAAGGUACUCCGGGGAUAACAGGCUGAUACCGCCCAAGAGUUCAUAUCGACGGCGGUGUUUGGCACCUCGAUGUCGGCUCAUCACAUCCUGGGGCUGAAGUAGGUCCCAAGGGUAUGGCUGUUCGCCAUUUAAAGUGGUACGCGAGCUGGGUUUAGAACGUCGUGAGACAGUUCGGUCCCUAUCUGCCGUGGGCGCUGGAGAAUUGAGGGGGGCUGCUCCUAGUACGAGAGGACCGGAGUGGACGCAUCACUGGUGUUCGGGUUGUCAUGCCAAUGGCACUGCCCGGUAGCUAAAUGCGGAAGAGAUAAGUGCUGAAAGCAUCUAAGCACGAAACUUGCCCCGAGAUGAGUUCUCCCUGAGACCUUGAGUCUCCUGAAGGAACGUUGAAGACGACGACGUUGAUAGGUCGGGUGUGUAAGCGCAGCGAUGCGUUGAGCUAACCGAUACUAAUGAACCGUGAGGCUUAACCUU
rnacentral:rRNA from 5 species